AUAUUUGGCCACCUCCUCAUGUUGAACAGUAGAUGUCUGAUAUAGAUGCUCAUCCGCAAUCAUGAUUCUGUAAUCAAUUGUCACUACCUGAACAUGCUUUCAUUUGCAGGCGUGCUACUGUAAUUUUGCUAAGAUUUUAUAAAAUGAUUAAAAUUCCAAUGCUUGUUUAUUGCAUCCAGUUUGCUUCAUACUUUUGAAUAGAAAUCAAGAUAUUUGGUCACCUCCCCUUGUUCAACAGUAGAUGUCUGAUAUUGAUGCUUAUCGGCAAUCAUGAUUCUGGAAUCAAUUUUUACUACCAAAUUACUCUGCCCCCUUGUCAUCUCAGUACCAAACUUCUUGCACAUCAUGAUGACACUCUUUUGCAUGUUUUAAGGCUGUUUUUUCUUAUCUUUUUUCUUGUCAUAUCAGUACCGAACUUCUUGCAAACCAUAGUGUUGUCAUUAGCUUCACCCCUACACUUUAAGGCAUUCAGUGAAUAUAGCAGCGUAUGUGUAGUUCGUUUCUGAACUUCGAAUUGGUAUGAGCCAAGUCCAUUCAAAGAUGCACAUAGCAGAUGAAGCAUAAUUUCAAACUAGAGCUGAGCACCGCCGGUUUCUUCCUUCUCUCUCCCGACUCCCCUCCCCCGCCUCAAACCAGCCGCCGCCUAUGCCAGCGACCUCGUCGCCGUGCGCCGUUCUCCGCCCUCCCCCCACCGCCGCCGCUCCCAGCCUCUCCCCCUCUCCUCCUCCCACCCAAUCUCCCUACCCGAGGCCCCAAAUCGAGCAGCAGGUCAGGCCGCGGCCAGAUCCACCACGGCCGCCGCGGUGCGUCCGGAUCCGCGCCGUCGUGACGCGGCGGAAGUGCUCGACGGCGGCCACGUCUCCCUCGUCACUCGCGCUCCAGGAGAGGAGGAGGCGAUGGCCACUGCUGCCGUUCUCGGGCGACCACGCGGCUCCUCUGCUCCGACCCUAUCAAGGCCUGGAGGAGGUGCAGGAGAUGCAAAUCUUCGGCCCCAACAAGCUCCUGGAGGACAGCAAGUUUCUUUCCUGGGUCCAACGCAGACGCAGGGGCAAUGAUGAUUGAUCCAGAUGAUGCAACGGUGUACUAAAAUGGAGCGUUUACUCGCUUCUCAUGGGCAAGGGAGGCAAGUAAGAUAUUCGUGAAGCUCCAUCUCGACUACAGGCCUGGAGGAGGUGUAGGAGAUGCAUAUCUUUGGCCACCCCAACAAGCUCCUGGACAAGGAGGGCAGCAAGUUCCUGGGGUCCAACGCAGGGGUGCUGAAUACCCAGCGAAGGAUCUUGAUCUGCUGGUUUAGAAUAAAACCAUAGACCAACUCGGAACGACAAGGAAAAUCACAAUCCAUCAGUCUACAACCCGCCUCAUAGCAGACGCUACUAGCAAAAACGGGAUCCAGGCGAGGGUUCCACAACGAAAGAAGCAACUCUCUUAAUUUGAUUCCGUAUAUGAUUCUGAGAAGUUGGCAGAGAGAAUUGCAAAGCUUUCUGGUGACGUGUCUGUCAUCAAGGUUGGAGCGACAACCGAGACAGAGCUUGAGGACUGGCAGCUGCGGAUCGAGGACGCGAAGAAUGCCACUUUUGCAGCCAUUGAGGAGGUCAUUGUUCCCGGUGGUGGCAUGAUGUAUGUGCACCUGUCUACCUAUGUCCCUGGUGAUCCAAGAAACAAUCGAAGACUAUGAUGGGCGCCUCGGUGCCGGCAUCAUUCAGAAGGUACCAUGAUGAUUCCAUCGUUGAUGGUGGCCAUGUAGAUUGCCUGAUAAGGUUCUACCCAACUAGAUGACUAAUGUGGCGCCGAGAUAAAAUGGUGACUCUAAGGUGACUCUAGAAGUAAUGCGGAAGCAAUCCGAAAGUGCAACUUACAUAUGUGGAAAUGAAAUUGGAAAAACAUCGAGGGAAGUUGCAAAAGUAAUGAAGCGGCGUACUGUCAAGAGCACUCUCUGUAAUGAGAGAAGUUUGCGAAGUCAUUGCAUGGUACUCCUCCGUUCGGAAUUACUUGUCUCGAAAAUGGAUGUAUGUAGAACUAAAAUACAUCUAGAUACAUCCAUUUCUGCGACAAGUAAUUCCGAACGGAGGGAGUAGGUUGCAAUGAGCAGUUAGCGCUUGUCAUCUUGAUUCUAUUGAAAGGGCCAACUGUGUAUGAUCUUAUGCUUUUUGUCAGUUCUGUAGAUAAUCUUGAAUGUGUCGUCGAUGGGAGGAAGGUUGAUGCUGGUGGAUAUGGCUGGCUCUGGGAACAAUGAAGCUGCAGGUCAAACUGGAUUCGACGCCAAGAUGCAGACCGGAGCAGAAGUGGAAGCGGAAGCGGAAGCUGAUUGCCGCCGAGUGCAGGUGGCUGACCUGGUGGUGCUCACCAACGCCUACAACUACUACUGGCUCCCAAGAGCGUAGCCACAUAUACGCUCCUACUGCCAACCCUACUGGUUGCCUCCUCUUCGGCCACUACUUCGACUUCCCCCGCAUCGUGAUGAUGGCUCCACGGCGGUGGUUGGCGCCUCUUCCUCGGUUCUGGUUAGUUCCUGGUCUCCGCCCUCUCUCCCUUGUGCCUUUAGAUUGUCUAGCCAUCGAGCUAUGGCUGAUUGUCUGGUGCUGACUAUCGAGCCAAUGACUGUGGGAUCAGUUAUGUGUUCAUGUUGUCUGUGGUGUCGGUCUUCCGGACAACACAAUCUUGUGAUUGUGAUGAUUUUGUUUAUGAAACUGCCCAUGUGCCGAUUAGGCCCUUGUGCUGUUGUAUGCUAUUUGUUGGGGUUUGAUUUUUAUUUAGGAUCUUGGUGUGUUACUGUCUAGGGUGUAGAACUUGAUAUUAAAGGAACAAGUCCGUUGCUGCACUUUUCUGCACUAGAUAGGAAUUGCGGCUUGCCGCACCCGGCAGCUAUGCUGCCGGGUAUAUUUAUGUUCAAUCUAUUUACACAACUGCCGAAGCACUUCAAGUAUAAAAAAUGGCAAACACAAUAAAGUAAAUAUAGUGGUACUCCUUCAGAGAAGAGUUCGAAAUAGAUAAUAUAACAUCAAAAAAAGUCACGGAACACAAUCGUUCAAACCCAGCAUCCAAUUCACUCAUUUCAAAGCUUAAAUAAAAGACCGGAUGGGAUAGUCCAUAGUUGUACAGAUCCAGCGUGAGUAAAUCCUCGUCAGAUCCAACAUUUGAUUGAUAAACAAAAUAAAGAGGGCCUAGUAGUGAUAGCACAAAGAGGCAGCAUAGAUAUUUGAGGCAUAAACAGAGGCAAAACUCCUUCAACACGGUAAUGUGUGCUCGCCUUUGAGCAACGUCAUCCCCGUCUAUGUAUCCUGAAUGUUGGGGAUGAUAAAGCAGUUACAUGUUGACAUUCAAAGGCAUAUACAUAGGUGAUAUCGAAGUAUGCAACAGUAGAUAAAUAAGCUUUCUUGAGCACAAUAUGUAUCAAAUACUCUAUCCGUCCGGGAAAACUUGUCCUCAGCUUAGUUCAUUUAUAAUUUUGCAAAUAAACCCUUAUCCUUUUAAUUCUCUUGCUAAUCAACCCGUCUUCCACCCCCGUCGCCCGCGGGCACUGCGUGCCCCAGCCACCGUCUCCCCUGUCGCCGCGGGGCACCGCGCGCCCCAGCCGUCGUAGAGCUCAGCUUGCACCACAGCUGCCAACUUGCACCCCUGCUUACCUGCGCACACGGAGGCGAGGUUCCCCCCGCCCACCUGCUCCUCUGCGGUGACACCUCGACGGACUGCAGCUGCACGGCUGACGGGCAGAACCUCCUUGUCGUCCUCCUCGAGUCACCAGCACCGCCGCCCACCUGCGCAGCUGCCACAGAGGUGACCACCACCGCUCGCAGGGCCUGCGCCGUCCGCUUCGGCCGUCGGCACGUUGUCUUUCGCCACUCCGGCCUCUUCUGUUGUUUCCAUCUUCCUCUGCCUCUGUUGCUUCUGCUAGUGGUGGUGCAGCUCCCGAUCUUCGUCCAGGUGGCCCCAAUCUUCUUAUUCGUCCAGGUGACCCCGGCUCUGCUGCUGUUGAAGCCUACAACAUCUGAACCGUACAGUGCCAGCUAGCUCAAACAAGAUGCAAAUCAACAUAUUGUGGACUAUAUUUCUACAGUUGUAUGGAACAAGGGAGCUGGGAUGAUUAUGCAUGUACUAAUUCAGUCACUGAUCAUGUACUGAUUGCCAAUAAAUGUAUUACUGGCAAUAAUUUGAUGCCAACCUACAUGAGUUACCAAUUUUCUACUGAUUAAGUUGGAAUUAUUUGAUGCCAGUAUGCACAGCAAAGCAGACAUCUAAAUCACUUCACAACAUCCACAAUUAUCCCCAAA